rnacentral:rRNA from 1 species
CACAUGCAAGUCGAGGGGUAACAGGGUAGCAAUACCGCUGGCGACCGGCGCACGGGUGAGUAACGCGUAUGCAACCUGCCUAUAACUGGGGAAUAGCUCCCUGAAAGGGGAAUUAACACCGCAUAACACUAUUGAUUCGCAUGGAUUGGUAGUUAAAUGUAGCGAUACAGGUUAUAGAUGGGCAUGCGUGACAUUAGCUAGUUGGUGAGGUAACGGCUCACCAAGGCUACGAUGUCUAGGGGUUCUGAGAGGAAGGUCCCCCACACUGGUACUGAGACACGGACCAGACUCCUACGGGAGGCAGCAGUGAGGAAUAUUGGUCAAUGGGCGCAAGCCUGAACCAGCCAUGUCGCGUGCAGGAAGACUGCCCCUAUGGGUUGUAAACUGCUUUUAUAGUAGAAGAAACACAUCUACGUGUAGAUGUCUGCCAGUAUACUAUGAAUAAGCAUCGGCUAACUCCGUGCCAGCAGCUGC